rnacentral:rRNA from 1 species
GUCGACGCUGAAGCACCAGCUUGCUGGUGUGGAUGAGUGGCGAACGGGUGAGUAAUACGUGAGUAACCUGCCUUUGACUCUGGGAUAAGCCCGGGAAACUGGGUCUAAUACUGGAUGCUACAUGUCACCGCAUGGUGGUGUGUGGAAAGGGUUUACUGGUCUUGGAUGGGCUCACGGCCUAUCAGCUUGUUGGUGAGGUAAUGGCUCACCAAGGCGACGACGGGUAGCCGGCCUGAGAGGGUGACCGGCCACACUGGGACUGAGACACGGCCCAGACUCCUACGGGAGGCAGCAGUGGGGAAUAUUGCACAAUGGGCGAAAGCCUGAUGCAGCGACGCCGCGUGAGGGAUGACGGCCUUCGGGUUGUAAACCUCUUUCAGCAGGGAAGAAGCCACAAGUGACGGUACCUGCAGAAGAAGCGCCGGCUAACUACGUGCCAGCAGCCGCGGUAAUACGUAGGGCGCAAGCGUUGUCCGGAAUUAUUGGGCGUAAAGAGCUCGUAGGCGGUUUGUCGCGUCUGCUGUGAAAGCCCGGGGCUUAACCCCGGGUGUGCAGUGGGUACGGGCAGACUAGAGUGCAGUAGGGGAGACUGGAAUUCCUGGUGUAGCGGUGGAAUGCGCAGAUAUCAGGAGGAACACCGAUGGCGAAGGCAGGUCUCUGGGCUGUUACUGACGCUGAGGAGCGAAAGCAUGGGGAGCGAACAGGAUUAGAUACCCUGGUAGUCCAUGCCGUAAACGUUGG